CGGGUUGUGGCUCAGCUUGGUAGAGCACCGCGUUCGGGACGCGGGGGUCGUCGGUUCGAAUCCGGCCAACCCGA
rnacentral:tRNA from 1 species